CGGCGCUGAACGCUCACGCUGAACUGCUCGGUCACGUUCGUCCAUGACGUCCAUUUUUGUCGCGUUUGUCUCGGUGAGAGGUUGUGUCUCAUCACGUUGCUACAGGUAUCUAUGUAAUUUAUAAUAAUUUUCGCUGAAGUGACGAUCUCCCGACAUGGUUAACGGAAGAAUCCCAUCGGUCUUCUCCAAGACCUAUGUCACGCCCAGAAGGCCGUAUGAGAAAGCUCGCCUCGACCAGGAAUUACGCAUCAUCGGAGAGUAUGGUCUCCGUAACAAACGCGAGGUGUGGAGAGUGAAGUAUACUUUGGCCAAGAUCCGUAAAGCUGCUCGUGAAUUGCUCACGUUGGAGGAAAAAGAUCCAAAGCGUCUCUUUGAAGGAAAUGCCCUGCUGCGUCGCUUAGUAAGGAUUGGCGUAUUGAAUGAAGCUCACAUGAAGCUCGAUUAUGUAUUGGGUCUAAAGAUCGAGGACUUCUUGGAACGACGUCUGCAGACCCAAGUAUUCAAGCUAGGCUUAGCUAAAUCCAUCCAUCAUGCCCGCGUUCUCAUUCGCCAACGUCAUAUUCGGUACCAAGACGAUGAAACCUUAUCGACCGGACCUGGUUGAUUGUGUUCACUGAGUCGAGAAUUCAGUUAUUAACUUAAUUUGAUUUAUGCAGGCCACUUAAAUGCUGUUUAUCGGCACUUAACGUCUGUCGAGUUGUUGAGGUUCUUUGUUCUCGUCGAAAAAGAGGGAUAAGUUUUGAGUGCGCAAACAGGUGGUGAAUAUUCCGUCAUUCAUCGUGCGACUGGACUCGCAGAAGCAUAUCGAUUUCUCGCUCAAGUCGCCCUUCGGCG